AAAAAAAAAAAAAAAAAGAAAGCAAGCAAGAACUUACAUGCACACAGAUGUUUACCAUAUUGUUCUUUAUAAAACCCCAAAAGAAGGAGGAAGGAAAUAUUUGAGGACAGGAGAAUGGUUAAUUGAAUUAGGUGGCAUCCUCAACAGAAUAUUUUACAGCUGUAAAUGAUAUUUAAGAAACAACAUACAUUUUCUUAUAUUAAUUGAGAAAAGCAGACUUUCAUAUUGUGUGUAUUCUAUGGUUUCAUUGAUGUGAAAAUGUAUAUACAUGCAGAAAAUGGCUUGAAGGAAUGAUAGAGUUUAUUCUAUUUUAUUAGAAUGAUGAGAAAUAUUUUUUAAUAGUCCAGAUCUUCUGUGAUAUUAUUUUCAUAUAAAAAAUUAGUUCCCAGUUUUUCUUCAAGGGGGAUACUGUUUCCCUUUCUGAGAAGAUAAUCAAUGACCCUCCAAGACUUGAGAGGAGUGACCUGAGUUUAGGAGAUAGUAGAACCCACCUAGAUCAUGGUCGUGCCAGCAAAUCCGUGUGAAUGCCACUGGAUUAAAAGAAGGAAGUUUAGUUGAAUGGUUACUACCCUCAUUCACAGGAGCAGUUAUCGGCACUUCCACUGAGGCAAUGGCAGUGGGAAAAGGAAGGCAAAUAUUUAUUCACCCAUCCAUAAACUCAUAAAAAGGAGUGAGCUGAUGAACUGAACACAAGUUUUGGUGUAAUCAACAAGCUGCCUGGAAUAUGCAUGAACUGCCCUAAUUUUACAGAUGCCUUUACUUCUGAAAGCAUCUUCUGGGAGAGCUUAGCCUUUUCCCUAAGUUUGGAUUUGAAAGCAAGCAGAAUGGAAAUAAGUCCGUGUUGUUCACAUGUGCUUUAGUUUUUGUGCACUUAAAAGUUUUUAAAGAACUUUUUUAAAAAAAAACCUUCUAAUAUAAAUCUUUUGUAAAAGUAAUACUUAAAAGAAAAUGUUUAAUGAUUUAAAAAAAUCUUAGAGAAAAGAGCCUCCCAUUACAUUUUUUUUUUUCUUUUUCUGAGACGGAGUCUCACUCUGUCACUCAGGCUGGAGUGCAGUGGCGCAAUCUCGGCUCCCUGCAACCUCCGUCUCCUGGGUUCACGCAACUCCCCUGCCUCAGCCUCCCGAGUAGCUGGGAUUACAGGCACCCACCACCACGCCCAGCUAAUUUUUGUAUUUGUAGUAGAGAUGGGGUUUCACCAUGUUGGCUAGGUUCGUGGUCUUAAACUCCUGACCUGGUGAUCCACCCACCUCGGGCCCCCAAAGUGCUGGGAUUAUAGGCGUGAACCACCACGCCCGGCCCUCCCAUUACAUUUCUAAAAAAUAUUUGCACAAUUAAAAUAUCUAUGUGGGCUGGGUGAAGUGGCUCAUGCCUGUAAUCCCAGCACUUUGGGAGGCCAAGGCGGGCAGUUCAAGACCAGGCUGGCCAACAUGGUGAAACCCCGUCUCUAGGAAAAAUACAAAAAUUAGCAGGGUGUGGUGAUGUGCAGGUGUAAUCCCAUCUACUCAGGAGACUGAGGCACGGAUCCCUUGAACUCAGGAGGCAGAGGUUGCAGUGAGCUGAUAUUGCACCACUGCACUCCAGCCCAGGUGACAGAGCAAGAUUCUGUCUCAAAACAAAGCAAAACAAAACUCCAUGCACAUUGGUAUUAUAUUUUAAUUUUUUUAAAUGCAUAUGGACCUCCUUCUGAUUUUUAAUGUCUUGAAAGUAAACACUCUUAUUCAUUCCAUAUAAAGUAGUAUUUUGAAAUAAUAUCUCAAUUGACAUAAAAUACAUGUUACAAUGAGAAAAUUAUGAGCCAUAUUAACAUUGUGUGAAUAAUUGUAAAUGAACUCAUCACAUUUUGAAAACGCCCCUUGAAGACUAGUGUAUUUGUCUGUUCUUACACUUCUAAUAAAGACAUACCUAAUGAGAGGUGACAGCAUGCUGGCUGCCCUCACAGCCCUCGCUGGCUCUUGGCGCCUCCUCCGCCUUGGCGCCCAC
rnacentral:lncRNA from 10 species